rnacentral:rRNA from 1 species
CAGAGACUGCAAGCGUUAUUCGGAUUCACUGGGCGUAAAGGGUGCGCAGGCGGCCAAGUGUGUGAGGCGUGAAAGCCCGGGGCUUAACUCCGGAAUUGCACCUCAAACUACAUGGCUAGAGCAUUGGAGAGGGUAGCGGAAUUCACGGUGUAGCAGUGAAAUGUGUAGAUAUCGUGAGGAACACCAGAGGCGAAGGCGGCUACCUGGACAAUUGCUGACGCUCAGGCACGAAAGCGUGGGGAGCAAAAGGGAUUAGAUACCCCUGUAGUCCACGCCCUAAACGGUGCACACUAGGUCUUGGCGGAUUCGACCCCCCCAGGGCCCAAGCUAACGCGUUAAGUGUGCCGCCUGAGGACUACGGCCGCAAGGCUA